rnacentral:lncRNA from 1 species
UUUGUUAUAGACAAUCGCUAGCUAGAUGCCCCAACUCGUCACACCGGUAGCAUUUGAUCUUGCUCAAGUUCCUCAUCCUGGAUUUGGACCGUUCUCGUCGUGAUCUCUUGUCGCUCCGUUUGCCAUCAUCUACUCUUUCAGAAAUUGUCAAAGCUGAGCUGCCACCACAUGAGCUCGAAGCUGGGUUCUCCCUCGUGAGAAUUUUAUUCUG